CAAUUUUUUUUAUAAAAAAAAGUGACAAAUUCAAAAAAUAAUGAUACAAAUAAAAAAAAAAAGUGACAAAUACUCAAAAAGUAACAAAAUUGAAAAAAAGUGACAAACUAAAAGAAAAAAAAAAGUGACAAAAAGUAAAGAAGUGACAAAAUAACCCAAAAAGUGACAUUCAUUCCCCUAUCUGUGAAAAGUUGACAGAAUAAGUACUUUUUUCUUUUAAUUCUGUUUUGGCAUUACCUCUUUUAUCUUAUUUACGGUCUAUAUUUCUUCACAUACACUGCUUAAUAUAGAAUGUUAUAUGAUCAUCAAUAAAUCAAACUAUUAAACAUUGAUUUACACAUUUGCAGGUCCAUUGACAUAUAAAGAUUUUAACUCUACUUCAAAUUCAUGGAGAAAAUAACAUGUGAACAGAUUUACAAGAAGCCUAGAAAAAACAAUGUUGUUAAAUGAGCUAGAAAUUAUUAAAAAGAUCAUAAUUGAUGAUACAAUAAUCAUACAUUUAUUCCAGGUAAACUCAACUGAUGAAUUUGAUAAUUGAUAACUGUUUAAUAAAUAUUCAAACUUUGGAAUCUCAAAACCUACAUCCAAAAUAUGCAGAAAUUUCCAUUAAAUAAAUAUCCAUAACAAAUUAAGUUCUAACCACAUAAUUUCCUAAUAAAAAUACUUCAAAACCGUAUCAAGAGUUAUAAACUUAACCUAGCCUAAUUGCAACUUCAAAUUGAAAUACUCAAAACUGAAGAAAUUACACUUUUAGAACAGCAUGAAGCUAAAAUUGAAAACGAAUUUUGAUGCAGCAUUUCACAACUAAAAAAGGUAGAAUGAAGUUUGCCAUGAAAAUUACUUUAUUUUAGAACAAUGGUGCAAAACAUCAGAAGCAUGGAAGAUCGCAAAUAUUCAAUAAUAUUUCAGGCUUCACUCAACUUUGAUCCUCAGUUCCUCCAUCUAAGCUCACAAGCUUACUGCAUGUUAGAGCCACGUCAUUUGGUGCGUAUGAUGUUAUUAUAGCAUCAAUUAAUUGACCAAGUGCUUCUUGUUGAAAAUUUCAACAAUGAUAUUUAAUUAGGAAUGAUGAAGAAAUAACUCCAAAGUUUCUCUUUUGGAAUUGGGGACCAUUUUUGUAGAUUGAGGAGGGUUUUUCUUCGAAAAUUGAAUCACGUUUUGUUUUGGCUCUUUUGGGGAUUUUGUGUGUGCACACUUUCAAGGGUUGUUGAUUUGGAAGGGAGUUGGGGGGGGGGGGGGGGGGGGGGGGGUUAUAACAUAUUAAUUACGCUUUGAAAUUGUUUAAUUGAUUAAUAGAGUAUUAAUCAAAUUAGUUAAAUUUUUCAAGGCAUUGGGCCUAAUUUAUCCAUUUUUCGCUCCUCGGGCCAAGCACUUUCGCCAGGAAACCUUGGCUCCCUUCGUGCACGAAAGCGGGUUUCAAAGAUCUCUAAUAAUCAAUUCUAAAAUACAGUCAAGGCACCUCAAUGAACUAUAUGUAUAUGGUAACAACCCCUUCAUCCCCAGUCGAUCCCUCAGUGUAGUAUAGAACACGAUCAAGUCCCCUCUGUGAACUCGAAGUAGUAUAUAAUCAUGGGUACUCUUCUGAUCCAUCUCAAUAUCACAUGUCUCACAUUCCAAAUCACAAAUAUUUCAUAUCUAAUCUUUGAAUUCCACAAAUAUCAUAACGAAAGAAUAUUUCGACAAUAAUCACGUAAUCGAAUAUAUAAGUGCACAUGAUAUAAUAGUAUAUUUAAAUUUAUUCCACUCACUGAUCUAUGGAUAUAAAUUUGAUUAAAUUGAUGAGCCUUUUCAAGAUUCCACGUCCCUAUCUGAAAUAACGGUAUAAUUUUUCGAAUUAAAACCUAACAAUUAAAUUAAUAUAAAUCCACCACUUAACUUCUCAACUUCUAUACUUACUUUUACAUCUCCAAUUCCCCAACUUUUCUUCUGUUCAAUGAUUUAUCAACUGAUCACCAUACACUAUCAAAUCCAUUACACCACUCACACAUCCUUAAAAUCACUACCUUGUUCAUAUACAACCCAUACACAUAGUUAGUCCAAUACAUAGACUUCAAAAAUUGUCAUAUAAAUUUAUUCAAACCUUUAAAAAUCUGAAAAUCCAAAGUUUGAAAAAAAAAAAAAAAAAACAGCACUAAAAUUCCAUAAAAUAGCCAAUUUCUGUAUAUUGAAAUUUGGCAUCGAAACCUUUGAUGGAAAUAGCACUUUUCUGGGUAGAAUUUCAAAAUUAACACCUGUACUACAAUAGCUCGAAAAUUGAUUUUAAAAAAAUGAAGAAUUCCAAUCUCAAAUACCUAAUUUAAGUGUUUAGCAUCAUAUAAUCACAAGAAGCUCAAAGAAUAUAUCUUUUAUCUCACAACCCGCUUCUAAACUUCUACUUACUUCAACUCCAAUUUUCAAAUAAACAUUUCCUUACAAUAUUCUUAUUUAAAACCUUGAAUACACAUCAACAACACUUAAUUCUUGCUAACUUCAAACUUUUAAAGAUAAGUUCCAUAAACCCUAAAGGAGAUAAUUUCACAUUCUUAUACUUACCUCUCUAAAUCAAAGGGGGAAAUUGAGAACUUAACCUUGUAAAAUUCGAACCUACCCCUUCGUUCUUUUUCUUUUUCUCUUCCAUUUCCUCCCUUUUCCUUCCAUGGUUUCGUUCCUGCUUCUCCAUAAUCCAUUCAGUUUUUGUCCCCCAAAAUGACCAAAAAGAGAUCAAUUAUCCUUUAAGUUAGCGGUAUAAUAUUGCACCUAAAGUCCCCAUCCUUAAUAUAAUAUACCAUUUACUCCUUUAAUUCCAAUAAAUAGAAAACAAAUCCCUAAUUGUCUAUAUAUAUAUAUACACUUUUGGCCCUUAAGUACUUGUAAUUGUAAAUUAAGCCCCAUAAAAAUUAUUUGUUCAACUUAAGUCCUUAUUAACUUUAAAUUUGACCAAUUACUUUGCUUGACUUUGACUCAAAAUAAGUGGGGUGUAAUAAUCUCACCUACUUCAAAGAAUUUCGUCUUCAAAAUUCAAUCCACUAGAAUUCGAACAUAUUAGAAAAUAAAGCAAAAAUAAUGAAUGAUUUCUCCAACAACCUUUAACGAGGCCCAAAGUUCAUUAUUUCCUUAUUAUACUUCGAAUAACUUUCCUAUGAACCAAUAUAUGAUAUUUUCAACUUUUCAUUUUACAUUUCUCAUUUCUCCUUCUCUAUAAAUAUGCACUCCCUGCAAUAUCCAUAUACAUAUUCAGCUUAUCUUCUUCUCUUGUAAUUUUCCAUUUCACUUUUCAGUUAUGCCCAUAUACAACACACAACUUAUUAAUGCAGUUUUCAAUUCCUCAUCCUUUUCUUUCCAUGCCUCAAAGUUUCAUUGUCAAUUUAAUUCUUUCAGACACCACAACUAUAUGUAGAGAGAAUCCAAAAUUUUGCACAACUUCAAAAAUACUUACCCGUACUAAAGUAAGAAACUUGAGCUAACCAAUUUCUUAAAUAAAGAAAGAAAAAUUCAACACCUAGACUUUGUCUCUAUUCCUUUUUUUUUCUUUCCUUCUCCAACCUCAUUUAUCACUAAUCUUUCUCAUUUUGUAACCUACGAUAUAAUUGGUCAAGGCAGUCAUAAUCCCAUCCUAUAUUUUUCUCGAAGUAUACAUGACUGUUAAUCUCCUCAAUGUGUAAUAUGCAUAAUAAAACAAUGUAUUUUAUUGAUCAACAUUCUAUAUAAUAUUAUCAUUUUGUCCUCCACAAAAUUCUUAUCAUAUAGCAUAAGUAUACACCAACAUGCUUCCUACUCUCAUCCCAAAGAUAUGACCACAAUUCACUACAAUUUUCGAUAGCGCUAAUGAUCAUUUAGCUCCUCGACAUAAUCAAAAUCCCUCACAGAUUAUCACCAAUUACACAUAUUAUAUCAUUUCCUUGUAUUAUUGUGCAAGCUAUAACUAAAGAUUUUCUUAUGUAUACAUAAAAAAAUUAUGUAAUUUUACAAAUAAAUUGAUACUUAAAUGGUUGUACCAUCUAUCACUUUGAAUGCCUAUACAUAAACAACCUGCAAAAUCAUCAAAAUCGGUUCAGCUCUUAAUAUUUUACAUAUACCAUGGUUCCAACCCAACAAUUAAUAACAUUUCCAACCAUCAGAUCAUUGCAACUAUCAUACUUACAUACUAGUCAUUUUUGGAUCUAUAAAAAAUAUUUUUCUAUCAUUUUCGGUUCCAUACAUUGGAGUCUGAGAGCCUGUGAUUUCCAUCACCUCCACGACAUAUGACCAUAUGCACUGAAUAUGCAUCAUAUGCCAAUGCAAGAGCUAUGAAAACUUUCAAAACUUUAUAAACCAUGCUUAGAUACCACUUUGACAUGACCCGUCUCUAAUCACUCUAGUGGACCCGAAACGUGACGUGAGCCGAUGGUAGAUGCUGACUAGAUGCCAAAUCCAUCACCAAGGCUAACCAUGAGCUGCUACAAAAUAUGCACCAAAAUCAAAUGUUUAUGAAAAAUAUAAUAUAAUGGGCCAGAAAUAAUUACUUCAUGUUUUAUCAAAAAUGAAUCGAAUCACUCAAUAUGUCGUGUGACUCUAAUUCAAUUCUAAAACCGCCAGGCUCUUCAAGCUAUCAAAGACCAAUACUAUCGUAAGAAAAAUCAUGAAAAAAUAUGAGUUUAUCAUUCAGUGAGUGGAAGAGUUCGAAAAUAAUUAUACUUUUUCAUUUAAACAUUUUUUUCAUACAUAACAUAGACAUCAAGUUCAUAUCAUUUAGUAAUUCAUACGAUAGCGUCAUACAAUUAUAGCCAAAAAAUGAGAUAUUUUCAUAACUCUGUAAAUAUCAUCUCAUAUUCACGAUAUAGUCAUUAGCUGUUAUCUAUACCAUCAUCCCAUCACACUAUAUGUGAUCCACAGAAAAUGUACCUUCUAACUAAAAUCUGAAAUCCGCCUCUCGGGCCAAGCACUUUAACCACAGGCCUUUGGCUCCCUCCAUGCACGAAAGCGAGUCUCAAAGACCUCUAAUAAUCAAUUUUAGAACACGAUCAAGGUCCCUUAGUAAAUUAUAUGUACACGGUCACGAUCCCUUUAUCCCUAGUUAACCCUUAGUGUAGUAUAGAACACGAUCAAUGCCUCUUAGUGAGCUAGAAGAAGUAUAUAAUCAUGAGUACUUUUCUUGUCCAUCUUAAUAUCACGUCUCACAUUCCAAAUCACAAAUAUUUCAUAUUUAAUCUUUGAAUUCCUUAAAUAUCAUAAUGAAAGAAUAUUUCCACAACAAUCAUGUAAUCGAAUAUAUAAGUGCACAUAAUGUAAUAAUAUAAUUAAUUUAUCAAUACUUGAAUAUAUUUAAUUGCACUAUGGCGCUA
rnacentral:lncRNA from 1 species